rnacentral:lncRNA from 10 species
CACAGGUUGCCAGGAAAGUGGGGGAAACCCGGCAACCACAGGCCUCACCCGUCUCCCAUGCAGCCCAAAAGUCCAGUCUCACUCCCACCAUGUCCCCGCAAACAGCACUGAAUUUAUUUCCAGGCAACCAGUGAGCAAGGCUGAGAACUUGUCCCAGGUUACGAGACUCCCAGGUACAGUCAUGUGCCGCAUAAUGACAUUCAGUCAAUGACAGACUGCAUAUAUGAGGUGGUCCUGUAAGGUGAUAAUGGAGCUGAAAAAUUCCUACUACUGAACGACAUCAUAGCCAUUGUAACAUCAUAGCACAACCAAUCACCUUUUCUAUAUUUAGGUACAACACUGAAGGCACCGCCCAUGAAAGAAACAACUGAUAGGCUGAACUCCAUUAAAAUUAAAAGCUUUUGCUCUGCAAAUACAAGAGAAUGAGAACACAAACCCAAGAUGGCUACAGAAGUUCUGGAAAUAUACCAGACGUGGCAAUGCUGCAGAGGAAGGAGGGAGAAUAUGCCUUUCUGCAGAUCUUUCUUGGAGGAGAGAUAAGGAGUUCAUAUGCUGGAAUGAUAGUGACACAGGAGUUUAACACUCCUACAGUAUCCAGAGCCUGGAUCCCUGAGUCAUCAGAUGGAGAAGAACUACUCAGGAGAGUCAUCCAACCUUCAUAGACAGUGGCAUGAGUGGGAAUUAAACAUUGAUUAUGUUAAGCCAUUGCAGUUUGGGGUUGUUUGUUACAGAAGUGUUCAUUUUCCCUUAUUGACCCA